GACGAACGCUGGCGGCGCGCCUAACACAUGCAAGUCGAACGAGCGAGAGAGAGCUUGCUUUCUCGAGCGAGUGGCGAACGGGUGAGUAACGCGUGAGGAACCUGCCUCAAGGAGGGGGACAACAGUUGGAAACGACUGCUAAUACCGCAUAAGCCCACGGUGCCGCAUGGCACAGAGGGAAAAGGAGCAAUCCGCUUUGAGAUGGCCUCGCGUCCGAUUAGCUAGUUGGUGAGGUAAUGGCCCACCAAGGCGACGAUCGGUAGCCGGACUGAGAGGUUGAACGGCCACAUUGGGACUGAGACACGGCCCAGACUCCUACGGGAGGCAGCAGUGGGGAAUAUUGCACAAUGGGGGAAACCCUGAUGCAGCGACGCCGCGUGGAGGAAGAAGGUCUUCGGAUUGUAAACUCCUGUUGUUGGGGAAGAUAAUGACGGUACCCAACAAGGAAGUGACGGCUAACUACGUA
rnacentral:rRNA from 1 species